UACGGAGGGGACUAGCGUUGUUCGGAAUUACUGGGCGUAAAGCGCACGUAGGCGGAUUUGUAAGUCAGGGGUGAAAUCCCGGGGCUCAACCUCGGAACUGCCUUUGAUACUGCAAAUCUCGAGUCCGGAAGAGGUGAGUGGAACUCCGAGUGUAGAGGUGAAAUUCGUAGAUAUUCGGAAGAAACACCAGUGGCGAAGGCGGCUCACUGGUCCGGUACUGACGCUGAGGUGCGAAAGCGUGGGGAGCAAACAGGG
rnacentral:rRNA from 1 species